rnacentral:tRNA from 1 species
AAGCCUGUAAUUUAAGGGUAGAAUAGUUUUUUGAUAGAAAACAGGUAGAAGUUCGAGUCUUCUUGGGCUUA